rnacentral:lncRNA from 1 species
CUAUAGUAAGGGAUUUUAACAGGGACAAGCUGAUAGCAAGAGAUCCUACAAACCAACAUUCCACACAGAACUCUCAGGAGCUGGGGAACUAAACACACAGGCAGUUUCUGAGGGCAGUUGGUGAACUCCUCUGGAAGAGAGAGAGAGGCUGCUGCUUUUUUCUCUAGUAUCCAGAAGAGCCAAGAAAGUUUCUGUCUGGUAUUUCUGGGGUGGACCCAGAGAGCCAAUGAUUCCCUCUUCUUUGGCUUUCUUGAUAUUCUGCCUGUCCUCGCUGCUAUUGGUGCUGCUGCUGUCAAGUGGAAGAGCCAUUACUGGGACUACUGCUUGACUCAAAGAAGACUCCUGGUUGUAGAUAUCUACUCCAGGAAGCUGGAGAGGUCUGGAGCAGGAGGACAGUCAGCCUUCACAAUCAACCCCAGUGACCAGCUUCACCUUCUCAGGCCAAGUUGCUGAUGAAGCCAUGAUUCUCCCCACUGACACAGGUCUGAGUAAAAUUACAAAACCAGCCCUCCAAAGCAAGACUGUCUUGUUGUGAAUCUUCAGAAUGCCGAAGAUCAAUGGUCCUACCACUUCUCUGAAUUCCUGGAACACACAACUCAGCAGAACCACACAGUGCCUUUUCAUACUCUCAUAUUGUUUGACAUGUUUGUUUUAUCUUCUCAGCUAAAUUAUAAACCAUAGGAGGGCAGGAAUCUAGUUUUCAUCUUCAUUUUUUCCAUAACCCAAGAUUAUAAAUAAGUCGAUAAAGUUGAGAGCUGAAAGAACCUGAG